CAGUGUUCUAACAGAAGUCUGUCUGUGGUUGCUUUGGACCAAGGCAGAGUGCUCUAAAGGUGGCUGUGCUGUACCCAGUACUGUGUCUUCUGAUAGAAGGUUCUGAAGCAACACUGUAACUGCUGAAUGCUUCUGGCUGCUUCUUUCCACAGUAAAAGAUGAAAAGAAAUAUCUUUUAUUGAGAUAGACUGAGGUCCAGGAAAAACAAGUGCAACUUCAUGGUCCUUUUCUUCAUAUUCUGGAAUACAAGAAAACGUGUAAAUGUUUGCAAAUUCAGGUACAUUUUCAACUGGAAUGUAACAUGUAGAGCAGUAGAACAUUCUGGAACCACCACAUUUGAGACAUUUUGAUCUCCCACUUUGCUGAGCUUUUUGAAGAACUUCUUGAGAUGCUAAACAUAAGUUUUGAAGGGGAUCUUCUGAAGCUAUGGAAGUAGUUUGUGACUGUUUUGUUUCCACAAAGUUUGAAUUAUUUUCUUCACUUCAUUUGAGAAAUAUAGGUGGAUUGAGAGACAUUCUUCAUUCAAACAAAAGUUUAACAGCUAUUUCUAAAACACAUAUCAUCUGAAGCUAUGGAAGUAGUUUGUGACUGUUUUGUUUCCACAAAGUUUGAAUUAUUUUCUUCACUUCAUUUGAGAAAUAUAGGUGGAUUGAGAGACAUUCUUCAUUCAAACAAAAGUUUAACAGCUAUUUCUAAAACACAUAUCAUAUGUGCACUGCGAGUCCUCGAACAGCUCCACGCGUCUCCAGCUCUGCCCAAGCCCGAGCCACGCGACGGGCUGUGAUCGCGCACGGACCAGACGGUGAUGUCCAAAUCUACAGCUCUAGACUUGACCCUGCUUAUGGGCCCCUAAAGGUACACAGACGUCUGCCUGACACUGGCUUGAUGACAAGACAGACAUGGAAUCAAAGCCAACAAGUACUUUCUAACCGAGUUACCUUGAUUAAGUGUAUGAGUCAGGAGAGGCCAGAUAUUUGAAUAGCUAACAGCAGCCUUGGAAGACUGAUAUUGUCUCCUGCUGGGACAAAGGCAGGCAGAGUUACUGUCCAGUAUAAUGAAGAUGAUGUCCUUCUUUGGAGCAAAAGACAGGCAUGUUUAUUGUCCCUGAUAAAAUAUCUGGGUUCCUGAAGCCCAGGGAUCUUCUCCCAUAACACAAUCCACUGCAAGUAUGGGUAUCAUGUGGCCAUCUUCACAUCCUCCUGUGGGAAUUGUAGCUCAGAAAAUGGCACAAGAAAAUGCUGACAUCUGGCUACUGCUGUUGCCAUGAGUAAUAAAGUCUUUUGUCUCCGAGGGAGAAGUCUCAUGUCUUCUGCCAGCAUCCAUGAAACUGUGGCAGGUUAACUUGUUAGCUUGCAAGUAGGGUAAAAUUUCAGACCCUUUAUGGUUCUUUACAGACAGCAGAGUCAAUUCUGGAGUUCCCCUAGUGAACCAGGAAAUACCACAGAGGGACAGACAAUUGAGAAGAGAAAGAUGCUGAGGAGAUACUAGAGGUCAUGAGGCCCUGACCACACUCCUUCCAUAUAUAAUACAAUUUAUUUCCAUCAGAAAGAAACUCAGAUAAAAGUGACUGUCUACAUGGCCACAGUCCAGCUGUCUUCACAUGGAAACAGAAUCAGAAGAACCCCUUCCCAGUGAGGUGGGACAGUGCAUGGUGGGACUCUGUAGUCCCAUGCACCAGCAGGACAGGUUUUCUGAAACUGUGCAUGCAUAAGGGUCCUAGGAACAUGCUAGUAGAAAUGGUACCAUGACCAUCAGUAUGGGUGGUGGAUUCCAGUCAACAGAAGGAGGUCACACAGAAGGGGCUAGUGUCCCAGUGUCUGCCCUGUGCCUGAGUGGGCAAAAGCAGCCUGAUUGGGGGAAAACUCAGGAGAUCAGCCAGGCUGCUUUCUGGUUUUAAGAAAUGAAGAUUCUGGUAAAGGAGAAAGAAAAAUUGCUGAGGAAUAUAGGGUGACAGUUGUCUCCCCUAUGCUACUCAGCCUUGUCCUUAAGUUCUCACAUCCUCUUAGGACCAGCCCUAAAAUGUAAUCUAAAAAUCCUAAUAAAAAAGGC
rnacentral:lncRNA from 1 species